CCCUUCUUUCCAAAAAGCAUCCUGCUAAAAUCACCACUGUAAAGCCUUUAAGGCUCUACAUUUGGUGUUAAUGACAGCAGCGAUUUAUUUCAAAAGAAGGGAGAGAAAAAGCAUGACGUCGGAAAUGAGGGGAGGAGGGACCUCUUUCUUAAUGUCCAGUGUCCUCAUCCUCGAGAUUCUGUGCAACAAAA